ACAGAGUGCUAGUGUUGGGAGGGUUUCCGCCCUUCAGUGCUGCAGCAAACGCAUUAAGCACUCCGCCUGGGGAGUACGACCGCAAGGUUGAAACUCAAAGGAAUUGACGGGGGCCCGCACAAGCGGUGGAGCAUGUGGUUUAAUUCGAAGCAACGCGAAGAACCUUACCAGGUCUUGACAUCCUUUGACCACUCUAGAGAUAGAGCUUUCCCUUCGGGGACAAAGUGACAGGUGGUGCAUGGUUGUCGUCAGCUCGUGUCGUGAGAUGUUGGGUUAAGUCCCGCAACGAGCGCAACCCUUAUUGUUAGUUGCCAUCAUUUAGUUGGGCACUCUAGCGAGACUGCCGGUGACAAACCGGAGGAAGGUGGGGAUGACGUCAAAUCAUCAUGCCCCUUAUGACCUGGGCUACACACGUGCUACAAUGGGAAGUACAACGAGUCGCUAGACCGCGAGGUCAUGCAAAUCUCUUAAAGCUUCUCUCAGUUCGGAUUGCAGGCUGCAACUCGCCUGCAUGAAGCCGGAAUCGCUAGUAAUCGCGGAUCAGCACGCCGCGGUGAAUACGUUCCCGGGCCUUGUACACACCGCCCGUCACACCACGAGAGUUUGUAACACCCGAAGUCGGUGAGGUAACCUUUUUGGAGCCAGCCGCCUAAGGUGGGAUAGAUGAUUGGGGUGAAGUCGUAACAAGGUAACCGAAA
rnacentral:rRNA from 1 species